rnacentral:tRNA from 1 species
GGGCGAGUGGCGGAACUGGUAUACGCGCACGACUCAAAAUCGUGUUCCUCACGGAUUGUGGGUUCGAUUCCCACCUCGCCCACCA